UACACUAAGAGCCUUCUUGGAAAUACCAUCAAAUGAAUCCAAACCACAAUUAGCUCAGUGUGUACUUUCACAGGUUCACCAAGUACUUGCUGCAGGCAAUUUUCGAAGACCGGAGACCUUUUCUGGCAGACGUGGCUGCAUUGGGUUUCAAAAGUCGAGGUGGAUGCUUUCCAGGCUGUAUUUACUGUUAUUGUUUAGGAUUGGGUGUGAAAAGAGGUCUUAACCUCAGUAAUCAGUGAAAAAAAAGACGCUGUUUUGUAGAACACACCGUGAUGGGAUUCAGGUUAUGUCGGUUUCACACGAGGACAGAAAAGCUGCCGGCAGCUGUUUUCUGUGAAGAAGCUCUACGGAGUUCAAUAUCUGCCCAGCACCGACCCCCAAACAGCAAAAGAUGAGUAACUAACAAGCUAGUGGAGCGUUCAGGAACUUAAAUGAAACCUGACUUUAUUGCUUUUGCCAUACAGACUUUCUAAGCACACUUUUUUUACUGCUGCCACAGCUGACCUAAAAUCAACCAUAGCUUGCUAUUUAUACAAUCUGAAGCCUGUUCCUGUUUUCCUCAGCAUAUACACAGCAUGAAUGUUGGCAAAGGUCACAAGAGGGAAAUUCAGCGAGGGAGGGAAGAAACACAAUUUAAGAGGUGACUUAAUCUUUCUCGCUCACCGGCGAUGGGUGGUCCGAGCAGGCCUCCACUGCUGCGUAUGAGCAUGAAGAAGCCCAGCGCACUCCCCAGCCUCCUGACGCCCACCACCUCAGCCAGCACGGUGAUGUGGACGGCGACUGUUGCGCCGAAAACCAGGCCGUAAGCCGCGCUAAAGGCGGCCAGCUCCGGGAAGGUGGAGGCCAGCGGGCAGAGGAGCAGCACGGCCCCCAGCAGGAACACGAAAGCUUGGUCCUCUCUGCUCCAGGCCUCCCUGCUCUGCAUUUUCCUCACUGGCACAAGUUGCGGGAGUAGCGCCUGCUAGGGGCCUCAGCAGAACCCCACACACGCACAGGUUAAGCUGCAGACCCCCCAGGACCAGCAAAGCCCCCCUCCAGGAGAAGCUGUUAAUCAACAGCUGGAACAGCGGUGUGAGGACAAAGGACUUGACGACCCCGAAGGUCAAACCGAAGACCAGGAAGCAGGAAAGCAACACAAACCAGGCGUAGCCACUGUCAGGGGCCGAUGAUGGUGCUGCAGAUACUGCUGCCCUCUGGGGCUUCACUCGAGAUGCCAUGUUAAUCUCUGACUUCAAAAAUCUAGGGAGAAAUUAGGAAGUUGGUUUAACCAGCAAUAAGAAAAUGUUUUAAACAAACACAGUAACAUAAUGACACGAUGUGGGUUAAACUACUUUAGUAUUCUUAGAGUUACUUUCUAUGUUUUUAUUUCAUUUUACUACAAAAGUUAUUAUGUAUUGUGUUAUAUGUAUAAUGUCAAUAAAUUGUUCAUAAUUGA